ensembl:rRNA 5S_rRNA 5S ribosomal RNA
GCUACAGGCCAUACCACCUUAGGCACGCCCGAUCUCGUCUGAUCUCGGAAGCUAAGCAGGGUCGGGCCUGGUUAGUACUUGGAUGGGUGACCGCCUGGGAAUACCAGGUGCUGUAAGUU